AAAGAUUUAUAUGUAAGUACACUGUAGUCUUUAGAUACAGAAGAGGGUGUCAGAUCUAUCUUGACAAAUCACCAUAAACUGAGGUGGGGUUUGCAAUUUUGAGAACUGAAAUUGAAUGGACAAUAAGUGCUGCUUUAAACAAUUUCUAGAAUUCCAUCUUUAAAGUAGUUAGGAAGCCCAGCAGUGGUGACACGCCUUUAAUCCCAGCAAUUGGGAGGCAGAGGCAGGCAAAUUUCUGAGUUCGAGACCAACCUGGUCUACAAGAGUGAGUUCCAGGACAGCCAGGGAUACACAGAGAAACCCAGUAACAACAACAAAAAAGAGGCGGGAUGGGCUUUGGAAGCUGAAUAGUUAUGUUUACAAAGUUGAGCCAAUGUUGGGAAUUAAGUAUUUGCGGUAAGCAGAGAAAGGUUGAGACUCCUUUAAGGUAUAAGGAAUGACUUACACAUGCUAUGGCAAGUGACCUUUGCGCAGACUUCAACCUUGUAGCUCGGGGCUCUCUAACUUUCCCUGUGUAGUGGGUAGACAAGCUGUCACAUAUGUACCAUAACCCUAGUUGGCUGUCCAAAUAGCUUUGGUAGUUACGUGAUGGUGCUGGAGUGGACUGAAGGGUCUGGUUCACAGGACCAGCUGUGGGCCGAGCGCUUAGCUGCUACGGAAUGAAGUGGCAGCAGCAGCUUCUGAAUGCGCCGCUCCGCACGCCCGACCGCUUUGCACUAAUCCCCGCUAGCCCAGGGUUCCCACAGCUCAGUUCACGUGGGCUGCCCCGCGGCGCUCAUUGGCCAGCUCCGCGCGUCGCCGCGGUCGCCGCUGCCCUCGUCCUCCGCCGGACCCGGCGUAAUGCCGGCCAAUGGCGAGGCGGCUUACGGCCCGCCACCUGUCCGCGGCGAGGGCGGGCGGCGGCGAGGAGGCGUCGCACUCCAUGGUAACGACGCCGGCCCGAAGAUGGCGGCCGCUGGGUCUGGAGGAGCGGGCGGCCCGGGACCAGGGCCGCGAGGCCGCUGGGGCGGCUGCCUGUGGGUGCGAGGCGUCCUGCUUGUGCUGGGCGGGCUCCCGGCCGGUGCCGGAGCUGCUCCCGUCUCCCUGGGCACUUCGCCUCCGUGUCGCCAUCACGUCCUUUCGGACACUGAGGUCAUAAAUAAGGUCCAUCUUAAGACAAAUCAUGUCACGAAGAGAGAUGCUGACGGGCAUUUACGAAUCAAGACCAUCUACGACCAGAGCAUUGAAGAGUUGCUCCCUGAGAAAAGAUAUCUUGUAAAGAACAAACUUUUCCCUCAAGCUAUUUCUUAUUUAGAGAAAACAUUUCAGGUUCGAAGACCUGCUGGCAGGAUCUUACUUAGCAGACAAUGUGCGACAAACCAGUACCUACGGAAGGAAAACGAUCCACACAGAUACUGUACUGGAGAGUGUGCGGUGCAUACCAAGUGCGGGCCUGUUAUAGUGCCGGAGGAGCACCUCCAGCAAUGCAGGGUCUGCCGAGAGGGUAAGUGGCCGUGUGGAGCAGUGGGUGUGCUUGACCCAGAGGGUGUGCGGGACGCAGACUUCGUUCUUUAUGUGGGUGCUCUGGCCACUGAGAGGUGCAGCCACGAAAACAUCAUCUCCUACGCAGCCUAUUGUCAGCAGGAGGCAAAAAUGGACAGGCCCAUAGCAGGAUAUGCUAACCUGUGUCCAAAUAUGAUCUCCACCCAGCCCCAGGAGUUCAUCGGGAUGCUGUCCACAGUGAAGCAUGAGAUCAUUCAUGCCCUGGGCUUCUCUGCUGGUCUUUUUGCAUUCUACCAUGAUCAAGAUGGAAACCCCCUGACUUCAAGGUCUGCAGAUGGCCUCCCGCCCUUCAACUAUAGUCUUGGCUUGUAUCAGUGGAGUGAUAAAGUGGUUCGGAAAGUGGAGAGAUUGUGGAAUGUUCGAGAUAACAAGAUAGUUCGCCACACUGUGUAUCUCCUAGUAACACCGCGUGUUGUUGAAGAAGCUCGGAAGCAUUUUAACUGUCCGGUCCUCGAGGGCAUGGAGCUUGAAAACCAAGGCGGGAUGGGCACGGAGCUGAACCACUGGGAGAAGCGCUUGCUCGAGAAUGAAGCAAUGACUGGUUCCCACACCCAGAACAGAGUCCUGUCUCGGAUCACUCUGGCGUUAAUGGAGGACACUGGCUGGUACAAAGCCAAUUACAGCAUGGCUGAGAAACUCGACUGGGGCCGAGGACUGGGCUGUGAAUUUGUCAGGAAGAGCUGUAAAUUCUGGAUUGAUCAGCACAGGCAAAGGAGGCAGGUGCCGAGCCCGUACUGUGACACACUCAGAAGUAACCCGCUGCAGCUGACCUGCAGACAGGACCAGAGAGCCGUCGCUGUGUGUAACCUGCAGAGGUUUCCUAACCCCUUACCACCCGAGUACCAGUACUUUGAUGAGCUCACUGGGAUACCUGCGGAGGAUCUGCCUUACUAUGGCGGGUCUGUGGAAAUCGCUGACUAUUGUCCUUUCAGUCAGGAAUUCAGCUGGCAUUUAAGUGGCGAAUACCAGCGCAGCUCCGACUGUAGAAUCCUGGAAAACCAACCAGAGCUGUUUAAGAACUACGGGGCAGAGCAGUACGGGCCGCACUCGGUCUGUCUGCUUCAGAAGUCUGCGUUCAUCAUGGAGCAGUGCGAGAGGAAGCUCAGCUACCCAGACUGGGGGAGCGGCUGCUACCAGGUUUCUUGUUCUCCUCAAGGUCUAAAGGUUUGGGUUCAAGACACUUCCUAUCUGUGUAGCCGGGCCGGGCAGGUGCUCCCAGUCCGAAUUCAGAUGAACGGCUGGAUUCACAAUGGAAACCUGCUGUGCCCUUCCUGCUGGGACUUCUGUGAGCAGUGUCCACCAGAAACAGACCCUCCAGCUGCCAACCUGACUCGAGCCCUUCCUCUGGAUCUCUGUUCCUGCUCUUCUAGCCUGGUGGUCACACUUUGGCUCCUCCUCGGCAAUCUGUUUCCUCUGCUGGCGGGGUUCCUUCUGUGUGUGUGGCACUAGGAGUGGAAAGUGAAGUCUCAAGACGACGGUUUUGUCAUGUUCCCAUGAACGAAGCACAGGACCUGGGUGAGCAACAGCCCACAGGGGUGCCAUUCUUCACUCUGGCUUGGAAGUGCUGUCCACAGUAGGACUGUGAAGAGUGGACCACCCAGUGUGACUGCUCCACGGCAGUCACUCCUUACCAGCCACACAGCCACCUGGAGCGUGGAGAGGAACUACCCCAAGGUUCCAUAGUUCAUGGGCCUGCAAUCUCCUGGCAGGUCUCCUUUAAUGCCCGGUGGAUGGUGGGAUUUGCCUCGAUCACAUACCUCAGCUUUUGCAUUCAUCUCCCGUCCGUGAGCAUCAAGGUCACUCAGAGAGCUGCUGACAGCCCAGUCCAGAGUUUGAGUUGAAGAUCCCAUCCUCCACAGUACGAAACUGGUCCUCAGGAUCUCAGACUUCCCGCCCCCACUGCACCUGUUUUAAAUGAACGUCUGGUUACGACACUCUCAAAUCAUCCCUCCUUCCGUGCCACUAAAGCGGUUGACUUGACUGUGUUUGCCUUUCCUGGCGGCUUGCCAAGCUGUUGUCAGUAUGUCGUUAGCCCUCUGUGCCUGAUCAGCCUUCUCCAUGUGAGCUGAGUGUCCACUUGCUUUCCUCAUUAAUUUCAUAGCAACUUGGAAAACCGUGGGAGAGCAUGAAGUAUGGUCAGGGGGUUGAAGUCGUGCGAACAGAAGGGCGCGCGAUUGUGCUUCAGGUAAUAUUUACAAAACCCGGGAAUCCAUCAAAGCCCAACUGAUCCUUUCUGGCCUAUGUAAAGUUUAAAGGUUUAGAUGUGGGCAGGCAUGUCAUCACUUCCAAGAGGACUGGGCUGUUAGAGAAUUCCUGCUAAAUCACAAAGUUAUUUCACAGACAAGAAGAAAAAAACUCAAGUUAAGACAAGAUCAUCUGAAUUGUUUCCUAGCAGCAAAGUAUAGGUUUGGGGUCCAGCCUGCCCACCGGCCCAUCUGGACUCCGUUACAGCGCUUGUAUAUUACCUCUGUUUGCAUGUCUGUUUCCUCCCGUGUCUGACACUUCCUGUACCACACGGAUUCUGUGAAGUAAUCCUCCUGCACCAGAGCUUACCAACCCUCUAGUACCUUAACACUGACACUCUUUAACGAAAAGCGAUAUCCUGGAUUUUUCCCUGAAGAUAAUCAAUUAUUGUAGUGUUAUAAACAGCCUGUGGACCAGCGAGAUGGCUCAUUAGCAGAUAGUUACUGCGUGUUCAAGUACAGUGGAACAUGGCGGCCCGUAAUCCCAACGUUUGGGAAGGAGAGCAGAAGGAUCAUGAGUUCAAGGGCGUCCUCAGCUACAUAGGGACAUUCACGUCGAAGCCAGGAUUGGCACAUGAAACACUGGCGAGUGGCAGGAGAAGGAGUUGUGGGAGGGAGCAGAGCACUGUGUUAUAAGCACUGACCCUAACCAGCUGUGGCACCGCAGCGGGGCUUCAGUCUCAGAAUAAGGAAAGCUCACUUUCUUUUUAAAGGCAGAAAUUUGAGAUAUGUACCUGCAUGCAGUAUAAGUUAGAGGUAUUCAUCACUGUGCAAAGCUGAGGCUCUUAAACUCAGGCAACUGCAGCUAAAAAGGCCAUCAUCUGCAGAGCAGGACACCGUGCUUUGCCCGGCAUUCUGCCUUCUUUAAGUUGUACAAAGUCAGAGAGAAGUAAGUAUGUAUUUAAAGAAAUAUACAAUAUGCUGGGCAUGGUGGCACACACCUUUAAUCCUAGCAUCUGGAAGACAGGAUAGUGGAUAUCUGAGUCUAAGACCAACCUGGUCUACAAAACAAGUUCCAGACCAGCCAGGGUCACAUAGUGAGAGGAACCUGUCUAAAAAGAAAAAAGAAGUACACAUUAAACCUUCAUACCUAUGAUGGUUAUGAAUUAUCCUACAAAAUGUAUAAAGAAUUUCACCAAAAAUAACAGUGGAGUAUAUUGAGAGUCUGUGAUAGGUCUGACGGCAUUUGGACUGUUGUGCAGUAAUGCCGUUUAGGUAGUAGUGUUUCCAAGCAUGGUGCUUUUUAUACUUGAGAUAUAUUUUUGCUUUAUUUUUUAAUUAAUAUUGUAUUUGCACUAAUGACUUUCUGAAGAAAAUGUUACAGAUGACAUUUUUGUAUAUAUAUGCAUAUAUAUAUAUAUAUAUAUAUAUUUAUUUAUUAAGCUUGGACUGUGGUGUCCCAGUGUUUGCUCUGCACAAACAUGAAACUUCAUGCAGUCAGUGUCAAGAGACACUGAACUCCAGAGCGUUACUAGCUAGGCUCUUUUGUCUCAUCCUCUUCAGUGAGGCCAGAGCGAGGUCACUGUCGCUUAGCAUUGAUCCCACAUGGCAUACUUAGCAAGGCUUGGACGGUCACUCAGCCCGUAGGACAGUGUUAGAGGCUCAUUGUCGUCACUUCAAAUAUAGCAACCAAGACAUGGUUUCUGCAGUCGAGAUUUCAGUGCAGAAUCAGCUGUAGGGUUCCGCUGUGAACUGAGGGAUUUGAAACAGCCUUCGUGCUGGCGCAGAUUAACCCUUCCACGUCACAAGGGUAAAACCAGUGGCCCGUGGAAAGAACCAAGCAGGGUGCUCCAUGAUAGGAGUGAGGUGGGACAGGAAAGAGAGGCGGGGACAGCUGGUCAGGGGACAGUAGACUGGAGUCUCUUCCUGAAUCAGAAAAGCCAAGUGUUUAUAAAAACUGACUACCUCGGUGUUCAGUUCAAACCCGUCAUUGUAAGUGUUUUAAGGCCCUAGGUGUCAAACAUAGCAAGUGAAUUGUCUCAGGUUUUUGCAGAAUUUACAGGAAGGAAGCAAAGCCAUGUGAGGAGCCCUGAGCAGGGUCAGGAGGGGGCGGGGCAGCCUUUGGUGGUCUGUGUCGACCCCUCCGAUUCUCUACUGCAGAACGUCCUUCCCGGAAUACUUACUUUUUUCCUAUAGGAUUCUUAUAUUUUUAAGACCAAAUGGGGAUUCUAAAAAUGUUCUAAAUUAUGCCUAGCAUUAGUUUUUAGCCUAAGUUGGCUUAGAGUUUAUUGAAAUUUAAAGAUAUAUCAUAAUUGUAUGGGUUGUAAAUAGUUUUAGGAAGAUGCAUAAGUAAGUGUAUCAGAGUAUUUCUCACGAAAUGUUAUCAGCAUCCUCUUUCAUAUUGGAUUUAUAGAUUCAGCCAGGCAUGGUAGUCAUGCCUGUAGUCCCAGCACUUGGGAGAUGGAGGCAGUAGGAUUAUGAUUUAAGACCAGCCUGGGCGCACGCACGAGAAAGAGAGAGAGAGAGAGAGAGAGAGAGAGAGAGAGAGAGAGAGAGAGAGAGAGAGAGAAUAUGAGACUCAAUCCUACCCUACCCUGCCAAAUAAGGGGGGGGACGUACCAUUUGUGGCCAUGUAUAAAGCAGCUAGGUGGUGGUCUGAAAUUUUACGCUGUAAAGCCCUGUGACUAACACUUGGCAAGGCCUAAGUUGCAGCUGGCCCUGCUCAGCGUCCCGGAGUCUCCAGCCUGCACAGUGUUCUAUGCCUGGCCAGCUAUGUACCUAGAAGCUGGGUGAACAGAGGAGAGCCAGUCUCUGAAGACAGCUGAGUUGUCCCAGCGUGAGGUGGACAUCCUCACAGCCUCACAGCUGGCUGGCUUCAUGGUGAGCACUAGUUCUCCCUGGCAUGGCCUUUUGCCUCCAGCCCAGGAGGACUGGCGUGCUGUGUUCAAUCCAGGUUGCUCCUUCUGAGGGCAGCGCUGAACUGGAAAGAUUUUUUUCCCUUUUUAAAUUAUGUUGGGACAUGGGAGGGAAUGCUUUUAUGUUUACAUUAAGUAAAAUAGAUUUUAAAAUUGUUCUUUAUUUAUGGUGGUGAACUUUAAGUGUAAUGUAUUCCUUCUAAAAACACAACUUUAAUAAAAAAUGGAAACUAA